rnacentral:sRNA from 1 species
AGCAGAAGCAAUAUUGACAGUCAUCACCACAUCAUCACCUGCACAUUAGAGAAGAGGACAGUAGUAAAAUCACAGGAAUGCUGAUUUUUGACACAUCUUUUAACAGCUAGAAUACCACAUGUAACACAUUUCAUUUUCUCCAUAGAAUUUCCCCCCAAAGUAGAGAUGCUAAGCCAAAUCCAGAAGAACCCAUAGAUGAAGAUGAAGAUGUUCAAGCAGAAAGAAUAAGAACAGCAACUGCUCUGACCACUUCAAUCUUAGAUGAGAAACCUGUUAUAAUUGCCAGCUGUCUACACAAAGAAUAUGCAGGCCAGAAGAAAAGUUGCCUUUCAAAGAGGAAGAAGAAAAUAGCAGCAAGAAAUAUCUCUUUCUGUGUUCAAGAAGGUGAAAUUUUGGGAUUGCUAGGACCCAAUGGUGCUGGAAAAAGUUCAUCUAUUAGAAUGAUAU